ACGGGUGAGUAACGCGUGGGAAUCUGCCCUUUAGUGAGGAAUACCUUCGAGAAAUCGGAGUUAAUACUGCAUACGUCCCUUCGAAAGAAGGGAGAAAGAUGGCCUCUUUGCUGUCGCUAAAGGAUGAGCCUGCGUACUAUUAGCUAGUUGGUAGGGUAAUGGCCUACCAAGGCGAUGAUGGUUAGCCGGCCUGAGAGGGUGAUCGGCCACAUUGGAACUGAGACACGGUCCAGACUCCUACGGGAGGCAGCAGUGAGGAAUAUUGCGCAAUGGGCGAAAGCCUGACGCAGCGACACCGCGUGAAGGAUGAAGGCUUUAGGGUCGUAAACUUCUGUUAAGUGGGAAGAAAAAGGUAGUCCUAAUACGACUAAGAAAUGACGGUACCACUAGAGAAAGCACCGGCUAACUUCGUGCCAGCAGCCGCGGUAAGACGAGGGGUGCAAACGUUAUUCGGAAUGAUUGGGCGUAAAGGGUGUGUAGGCGGCUUAUUAAGUCAACUGUUAAAUUUCUCAGCCUAACUGGGAGUAUGCGGUAGAAACUGAUGAGCUUGAGGAUGGAAGAGAGAAGUAGAAUUCUCGGA
rnacentral:rRNA from 1 species